rnacentral:rRNA from 1 species
GACGAACCGUCCAAACGUUAUUCGGAAUCACUGGGCUUAAAGGGCGCGUAGGCGGCCGAGCGGGUCACGGGUGAAAUCCUCCAGCUUAACUGGAGAACUGCCCUCGAUACCACUGCGGCUCGAGGAAGGAAGGGGCAAUCGGAACUGUCGGUGGAGCGGUGAAAUGCGUUGAUAUCGACAGGAACGCCGGUGGCGAAAGCGGAUUGCUGGUCCUUUUCUGACGCUGAGGCGCGAAAGCCAGGGGAGCAAACGGG